UGGGGAAUAUUGCACAAUGGGGGAAACCCUGAUGCAGCGACGCCGCGUGAAGGAAGAAGUAUCUCGGUAUGUAAACUUCUAUCAGCAGGGAAGAAAAUGACGGUACCUGACUAAGAAGCCCCGGCUAACUACGUGCCAGCAGCCGCGGUAAUACGUAGGGGGCAAGCGUUAUCCGGAUUUACUGGGUGUAAAGGGAGCGUAGGCGGCAGCGCAAGUCAGAAGUGAAAGCCCGGGGCUUAACCCCUGGGACUGCUUUUGAAACUGUGCGGCUAGAUUUCAGGAGAGGUAAGCGGAAUUCCUAGUGUAGCGGUGAAAUGCGUAGAUAUUAGGAGGAACACCAGUGGCGAAGGCGGCUUACUGGACGGUAACUGACGUUGAGGCUCGAAAGCGUGGGGAGCAAACAGGAUUAGAUACCC
rnacentral:rRNA from 1 species